GACGAACGCUGGCGGCGUGCUUAACACAUGCAAGUCGAACGGAAAGGCCCUGCUUUUGUGGGGUGCUCGAGUGGCGAACGGGUGAGUAACACGUGAGUAACCUGCCCUUGACUUUGGGAUAACUUCAGGAAACUGGGGCUAAUACCGGAUAGGAGCUCCUGCUGCUUGGUGGGGGUUGGAAAGUUUCGGCGGUUGGGGAUGGACUCGCGGCUUAUCAGCUUGUUGGUGGGGUAGUGGCUUACCAAGGCUUUGACGGGUAGCCGGCCUGAGAGGGUGACCGGCCACAUUGGGACUGAGAUACGGCCCAGACUCCUACGGGAGGCAGCAGUGGGGAAUAUUGCACAAUGGGCGGAAGCCUGAUGCAGCAACGCCGCGUGCGGGAUGACGGCCUUCGGGUUGUAAACCGCUUUCGCCUGUGACGAAGCGUGAGUGACGGUAAUGGGUAAAGAAGCACCGGCUAACUACGU
rnacentral:rRNA from 1 species